AGUCUUUGUCUGCUGGCUGGGGUAGACCUAUUUUUGCAUUCACAUUAUAUGGGUAAUAUAUAGAAACCCAUAUGUUAAGUGAUAUACUUCAUUUAUUCCUAAAUCCUACCAAACUAACUUCAGAUCAGCACAUUCACACAUGGACCUUGUGGAUUUCGGGCUGAUUCUGUCUUAGACCUGGCAACCCUGAUGCAGCGUCCCAUUGCUGUCCCCCCCCCCCCUCGGUAAGUACACUGAUAAAUGAAUUAGACAGGUGACAUAUGGAGAUAAAAUCCUUAAAUGUACGCCUUAAAAUGUGUCAGGUGAAGAAAAGAAGUUGUUGUUAGCAUCUUUAGGAGAGCAGGGUAGUCAUUUGGUGUAACUGUGAAUUAUUGAAGACAUUGAGGUAUAACUUGCUGCACCAAAUGCACGUAGGGUUAGCUAACACGUGAUGCUGUAAGCCAGUAGUUAGCACAUGAUGCUUUUUCCGUGCUCAAUUCAACUUUAUGUUAUAUAGGUAGGCCCACCACUUCAUUUGAAGGGCUGUAGAAGACUGACAUGAAACUGUCAGAACCAUUUGUACACUGGCUUACUGGGUCAAAGUUUGGAUUGAUUGAUUUGAUUUGACCAUUAUUGAUAUAGUAUGAAUCAAGCACUCUGUGUGUCAUAGAUUCAAAUACAAAAUAGUCAGGGAUGACACAAUAAAGCCCAUAGGCUCAUUUCCAUUGUGGUCCCUAGCACAAUGGAAUCAUUCUGGGCACAGUCAUAGUAAAAUAGUACAAUGUAAAUAGAAUAGAAUAUAGGCUAUACAUAAUUGCUUUAUAACUUAGCAGUCCAGCAUAUGAUAAAUGGAGAGGGAGAGUAGUGAUUCAUUGUUAUUUAAACCUGCAUGCCUAUGAAGCCCAUUUGAAUUGAAUUGAAUUGAAAUGACUAGUGUGAACGGUCAGUAUGUUGGUAGUCUUAAGUAUGAUGUCAACGUUCUGAUGAGGAGAACACAGAUGUCAAAUCUAGGCUGUUCAAUUCUGAAUAGUUGGUUCAAAGUGUUUUCUCUCCAACAGGUCCUUCAAUUGUCUUCUUCCAUUUGUCCCUCCUUGAAGCAUCGUUUCUAAAACGCAAACCAAAGGCACUUUUUAGAGCCACGUCUGUCUGUCUUGUUAUCCUGUCCGUGCUGUGUUGUACUUGUCAGUCUUUCUGUUGCUGUUUGUGUAUCUUUCUGUCAGUAUUAAGUUCUUGUCUGUAAAAAAAUAUCUUGUUAUCUGUCAUGUUUUUGUUUAUAUCAGUGUGUGUCAUGACACGUCCAAAGUUCAGGCCCUGUCCAUCUUGCCAGACACUCAAUGCUGCAAGCCUCAAAACUUGCAGCAUGUGUUAUGUGAGCCUGUCAAUGAAGAAGAAGUUGAAGGAAAAGACAGCAUCAUUGGACAGCAAGUGGGGUCAAGGUAUCGUCCCAAACCGGAAUGUUGGCCGCAUUAUUGAUUCAGCCCGUAUUGCAGUGCGAAAACUUGAGGCCAUAGGCUACAAGCCCAUUUUAUUUAUGGGAAAAAAAGACAAGAAGGCCUCUAACAAGUGGGUAGCUGACAUAAUAACCCAUUUGCCCCUCACAUCUACCACCAAAAACUUCUUGGAGAAGAUGAGGAGGGCUUAUGAAUUUCUUUUGACUAAGGAACAGCAGCCCAACACUGACCCAUCA